CUCUUUUCAGGUUACUUACAAAUCCGUACGAUGCACAGCAACGUAACGGUUGUGCUCCUAUACUUCGGUUCGCGUGUGGUACAAACUGUGGUUAAUAAUUCAAUUAUCGAGCAAAUUAUUGCCACCUCCUGUUUGCUUACACGUAAUUAUAUAAUAAAUUUGUGAGAUUACAAAACACGA